rnacentral:lncRNA from 1 species
GAAACAUGUAGCUGGGCUUAUGAGUUCCAGGCCCUCAUCCUUCUGGAGCUGUUUCUGCUCUUCAGGGGCUACCGGACUUCUCCUGUCCCUCCUGGGCUGCAGAUGCUAGGAGAGGACACCACUCUGGAGGUGGGGCAAGGCCUGGCCUAAGUUUCCAGUCUCCACCAUAGUUGGGGACUCACUGUAUUUGUCCCGUUUAUGCCAAUCACUGUAACCUCCUGCUUCUAACCUGCUCGGAGGGAGAUACUGCUCACUUUUGGGGAAUCCUCACAACCCACUUUCCCACACAUCCCUCCUCCCAUCCGAGCGCAGCCACACAUCUGAGCCAUUGAGUUGUGGUAACUCCAUGGGGAUUUCAGCAGAAUGGUCAAUGCUGGCCAGUAGUGCACCAGAUAUCCCUUCUCCCUGACCAAACCCAAAACAGGUUUGUCGGGGAGGCUGUGGGAUGUCGUACUGUGUGAUGAACCUGUGGGAACACAGAUCCGCAUGGCUGUUUCACUGCUGUGAGUGUCUGCAUGCUGUUCCUUUCCUAUGGCACAGGUUGGACCAAGCUCAUAAAUGUCUGUCUCCCCAGACAAGACUCCAAGACUCUUUCUUUUUCUAGUCUAAACCUGAAGUUGCAAGAUGGAAGCACAGGAGCUGAAUUCAGCUGGCAGCCUUAUUUGACUUGGCUGGUGCUGAGUUGUAAA